UGGGGAAUCUUGCACAAUGGGCGAAAGCCUGAUGCAGCGACGCCGCGUGCGGGAUGAAGGCCUUCGGGUUGUAAACCGCUUUCAGCAGGGACGAGGCCGCAAGGUGACGGUACCUGCAGAAGAAGCCCCGGCUAACUACGUGCCAGCAGCCGCGGUAAUACGUAGGGGGCAAGCGUUAUCCGGAUUCAUUGGGCGUAAAGCGCGCGUAGGCGGUUUGUUAGGUCAGGAGUUAAAUCUGGGGGCUCAACCCCUAUCCGCUCCUGAUACCGGCAAGCUUGAGGCUGGUAGGGGAAGGCGGAAUUCCAAGUGUAGCGGUGAAAUGCGCAGAUAUUUGGAAGAACACCGGUGGCGAAGGCGGCCUUCUGGGCCACGACUGACGCUGAGGCGCGAAAGCUAGGGGAGCGAACAGG
rnacentral:rRNA from 1 species